UCAGGCCAUUGAACUGGCCCCAGGA
rnacentral:misc_RNA from 1 species